GUGAUACUGGAGAUGAUGAAACAAGUUCUUUGUUUGGAGAGGCAAGCAAGUUCCACAAACCAGGUGACAUGGCUGCUUUCAUGUCAAAAGAAAUGAUACGAGGUCUGGGACUCACCGUGACAGAACUGAUGCUCGCGCGAAUGACAGCAAUCAGAUAUGCGGGCAAGAAAGACAAGCCUGCACAUCUGGUGGAUAUGAUGGUUUCGCUUUGGAGUCGACUUCCUGACCAUGACGCCCCUGGAAGCCGAACAGACAAAGGGGUUCAGACUGGCCAGCUCUUCCCACUGGGAUCUCGUGAUAGCCUCUGCUCCAGACGACGGGGAGGACAGCAGUUCAGAUGAGUCAGAACUCUCCGUCGGGUGGGAUGCUGAAGAGGAGCUGGACCCACUUCCCGCCCGAGGAACCCCAGAGUACACUGAAACCGUGACAAGGCACAUAGAAAAUCUGCUGCAGUGUUACGUGUCUGUGCAGACAACGACUCAGGCACUGCAAGUCACAGCUGCGGAAGCGACACCCACAUGAAGACCCAGUGGCAGCUCCGGCGGGGUCAGACAAAGACAGCAGACGACUCCCAGACGUGCCAGGACCGGAGCAUCCCAGGUGUCCACAGAAGGGCCAGUAGCUGAUGAGCAAAGACCGAGGGACCAAGAAGCGCAGCAGGAAGUACCACCAGAUCCCCGGCAGCGUCUGCUAGCACUGCUGGGAAUCAUAGCCACACGCAUACCCAACAGAGAGUCUUUGGACAGACUGCAAAAGUUCCUGCAAGAAAACCAACCUUGCAACCCACCACAGGUGCAAACAAGAUUUCCUCCUGAACCCAAUGGCAUUCUUCACAUUGGUCAUGUCAAAGCUAUCAACUUCAACUUUGGUUAUGCAAGAGCCCACAACGGUGUUUGCUACUUGAGAUAUGAUGACACAAACCCAGAGAAGAAAGAGGAGAAGUUUUUCACAGGAAUUUUGGAUAUGGUCAAAUGGCUUGGUUAGUAAAAUAGUUUUGUUAAGGAAGAUUUCCAGGAAAAGCUCAAUAUUUUCUGUGGACAUAUCUCUCUUAGUUUUCCUCUUGUCAAGUUUAAGAAGUUUUAACUGUCAUCAAAGAAUUUAUGAAUGUGAAUAUAUGAAAGUCAUAUAUUUGAACUGUGGAUAAAGAAUUUAUGCCCAUCGUCAAAAAUUAAUCCUUUGAUCCCUAAGAGGGAGGACAUGUAGCAAUAUAUCACACUUUAAGGUCACAAGAAUAAAGGUAAUGAACAUGGACUAAAGAAGUUUUUUAUUGUUAAAUAUUAAAUUCUCCCAGUCAGCAUCUUAUGAAAUGUAUAGAGAAAAGUAUAGAGAACAUGCAUACUGAUGGCGGCAUCUAAAGGGUUGAUUCACAAAUUUCCAAGUGGAUUCAUUUGCAAUCCCUGUUUGAUCAUCUCUAUCAUUAGCCACAUUUGAUUCUUUGUGGGUUAUUGAUGCCUUUUUACUAACCAAGUUCAAGGUCUGUGCUGUAAGUUACAGAUCAAGUCUUUUCUGUUGGGUUUUAUGGGCCAAUGGGAAAGUAUGUGGGACAUGUACCCUCUUGGAAAAAAACAAGGGUCCAUAACUUACUUUACAAAUUAAGAAAAUGAGAUUAGUAAGAUAUUUGUUUUAUUUCUGGAUUCAAAUAGAGAGGAAAGAUUUCAAUUCAAAC